CCUACGGGAGGCAGCAGUAGGGAAUCUUCCGCAAUGGACGAAAGUCUGACGGAGCAACGCCGCGUGAGCGAAGAAGGUCUUCGGAUUGUAAAGCUCUGUUGUUAGGGAAGAACAAGUACCGUUCGAAGAGGGCGGUACCGUGACGGUACCUAACGAGAAAGCCACGGCUAACUACGUGCCAGCAGCCGCGGUAAUACGUAGGUGGCAAGCGUUGUCCGGAAUUAUUGGGCGUAAAGCGCGCGCAGGCGGUUCCUUAAGUCUGAUGUGAAAGCCCACGGCUCAACCGUGGUGGGUCAUUGGAAACUGGGGGACUUGAGUGCAGAAGAGGAGAGCGGAAUUCCACGUGUAGCGGUGAAAUGCGUAGAGAUGUGGAGGAACACCAGUGGCGAAGGCGGCUCUCUGGUCUGUAACUGACGCUGAGGCGCGAAAGCGUGGGGAGCAAACAGGAUUAGAUACCCUGGUAGUCCACGCCGUAAACGAUGAGUGCUAAGUGUUAGAGGGUAUCCACCCUUUAGUGCUGUAGCUAACGCAUUAAGCACUCCGCCUGGGGAGUACGCUCGCAAGAGUGAAACUCAAAUGAAUUGACGG
rnacentral:rRNA from 1 species